rnacentral:lncRNA from 1 species
AGUCCUGAAGCCUCAUAUAAUAGUUAUUGACCUCAUUCCUUAGUUAAAUCAGACCCACCAUUCUUGUGAAAGUAAAGUCAUCAUUGGAACACUCACCUAACAAUUAUUGGGCCCAACUCUAUCUCCUUAGUUAAAUCAGACCCAUCAUUCUUGUGAAAGUAAAGUCAUCAUUGGAACACUCACCUAACAAUUAUUGGGUCCAACUCUAUCUCCAUCCUGCAUUAUCUCAUGCCAAUAGAGUGGUUGUAUCUUUCCUGAUACAACUGAACCACUAUAUCCAAUCGAGAAUAAUCAACAUCGGAAGGGACCUGCACA